AUACACUCAGUCUUCAGGAGGAGGCAUCCCCUCUGGGUGCAGAACUUCCGCUGUGGCUGCUUGCUCAGGAUAAACUGGUGGGACCAUGACUCAUUUUGUCACUGGGACCACAGGAGGAGGGGCCAGAAGACAAUGAAGUGUGCGGUGAGCACUCUCACAUUUCGUUAGAUGCACCGUCUCUGAACCAGCUUACUCAGAACUUCAGGAUGGCGGUGUGCAGUUACCAACUGUUAAGUCAAAGAUUCUGGACUGUUUAGGCUGUGCCUCGGGAAAUCAUUGCCUCUAUGAAGUUGUCCAAGGCGAGCUUGAUAAGCCUCUGAAGGCACAGAAGAACUGUUUGGAGAGGGGCCUAUACAUCUCGAUCUACAGCUACAGCGUCACAUGCUACCCCUCAGAAACGGACCUUUUAAUGAUUUCAUCCUGUCAAAAAUCGCAUAUUUCAAAACAUUAGAAAGUUGACUUGCACAAAUAUAAAACAAGCAUGGAUCAGGAUGCUUCACCGUGUGCUCCAUAAGCUACUCAUCUGAUGUUUCAUAGGAAGCAGAAGAAAUUCCCAGCAAAGUGACCUGUGUUGCAAGACUCAAAAGAGGGAGAGAGAGAGUUGGCUCAGCUGGUGAAGAGCUUGAUGGACAUGAAGACCUGAGCUUGGAUCUCCCAACAUCUUUGUGAAAGGACGGGCACAGCCCCUGAAUCUCCAGAGCUGUGACAAUGGAAGCAAUGGCUCCUCAGAGCUUGCUGGCCAGCCAACCUGCUUGAGUUCAGCUCUAGAUUCUCUGUGACCCUGACUCAAAAACUAAGGCGUGGAGUGACUGAAGAAGAGAUCUGAUGUCAACCACUUGUUCUUAUUUACACACACACACACACACACACACACACACACACACACUCUUAAAUAAAAAUUAAAUUAUUUGUUGAAAAUGACAAAAAGAUGGACACCAUACAGUUAGAAGUGGCAGCUACCAAGGGACUUGUCUUGUGGUGCUCUUUUAUCAACAGUUUCUGAUUCCUUUGACAUAGCAAGUGGCAGUCCUGGGAGCCGGUUUCCAGUCACAAAUCCCAGUUCCCUUUCUCCCCGUUUUGUUCAGGUUCUGCCACUGUCUUGAGUAUGCUCUUUUGUGCUUACUAAAGCUGUGCUGUGUGGGAGAGUCAUCUGUUUGUUCCUUGUUCUUCAGUGGGCUGAGUGAUGGACCCCUCCCUCUUUACAGAUAAUAGAUCUGUGAGAAAUCUCACACCACUGGGACCUUAUUUGGGCUUAGAGAUUUGCUGGUGUAGUUGAGAGGCUUGGGAGAAGAACACAAUGGUUAAUUUGGUUGUUGACUGUUAGGAUCUGAAAUCACUGAGGAGAUAAACUUCUGAGUGUAUCUGUGAGGAAGAUUCUAGAUAGAGUUACGUGGGAUUAGAAGACUCAGUCUGACUGUGGAUUGUGGAGAAUUUUAGGACACAUUGCUAAAAAUGUCUCCUGGGAACCCAGUCUUCCUCUUAAAACAUGAAUGAAAAUCUCUUUCUUCGGGUUGGCUGGCCAGCUCUUCACACAUUUCCUUGUACAUCAUUCUGCCGUUCGUGAGCACGGGAGCUUGCACUCACUGAUCUCCAGUACCUGGGCCACCUUCGUGUCUCAGUUGCUUAUUUUCUUGAGCAGUCUAGGGUUGUGUAAUCCUGAGAGUCUUGAGGCCGUUAGAUUAUUGCUGGUAGAGAAGAGGCCACCAAGGGGCAGGAGACACAAGGAACCAUUCAUGUGGCAGGUGGUGAUCAGAGAGAGAAAGCAGAGCUAACGGUGGAAGAUUUGAGAUAUGGAACCUAGUAAUUAUAGAUUUUUUGCACAAAUUAUGAGACUCUGCUUCUUUUUUAUUUUUUGAAAGAUAGUCUCAUUACGUAGCUCCUUCCUAUGCAGACCAGGCUGGCCUUGGACGCAGAGAUUGGCCUGAUUCUGCUGGGACUAAGGCCACUAAACCUGGCGACAGUGAAAACUUUGUGCAUAAAAUCUAAGGUUUCUCCCUUUGGUAUCCUUGAUUUCCUUCUACACAGGAACGAUAUUUAGCAAGCACACAACACUCACAAUAUACUAAAUACAGUUCUAUGUGUUAUGUAAAUAACUUGCUUAGUUUCCGGGCAAACCUAUAAGGGGUAUUGUCACUGUCCACAUCGUACU
ensembl:lincRNA D6Ertd474e DNA segment, Chr 6, ERATO Doi 474, expressed